GACCGAGGCGAUUAAAAGGGAAUCAGGUGAAAGACCUGAACAGACCCGCUACUGUAAGUUCCAUUGCAAACUUCCGGACACGAUUAGUGUCACUGGCCGCCAUGCGGCCGGGAAGGCCGUCCCGGAAGAGGAACAAGUCAGGAGACCUGCCAUGCAGUCA
rnacentral:ncRNA from 1 species